UACAGAGGGUGCAAGCGUUAAUCGGAAUUACUGGGCGUAAAGGGUGCGUAGGUGGUUCAUUAAGUCAGGCGUGAAAUCCCUGGGCUCAACCUGGGAACUGCGUUUGAUACUGAUGGACUCGAGUGUGGUAGAGGGUAGUGGAAUUCCGCAUGUAGCGGUGAAAUGCGUAGAGAUGCGGAGGAACACCAGUGGCGAAGGCGGCUACCUGGACCAACACUGACACUGAGGCACGAAAGCGUGGGGAUCAAACAGG
rnacentral:rRNA from 2 species